rnacentral:rRNA from 1 species
UACGAAGGUGUCAAGCGUUACUCGGAAUUACUAGGCGUAAAGGGCAGGUAGGUGGUUUGAUAAGUCUGUUGUGAAAGCUCCCGGCUCAACUGGGAGAGGCCAACAGAAACUAUCAGGCUUGAGUAUGGGAGAGGGUACUGGAAUUCCCGGUGUAGCGGUGAAAUGCGCAGAUAUCAGGAGGAACACCGGUGGCGAAGGCGGGUCUCUGGGCCGAUACUGACGCUGAGGAGCGAAAGCGUGGGGAGCGAACAGG